rnacentral:rRNA from 1 species
AUAUUUGAGAGUUUGAUCCUGGCUCAGGAUGAACGCUGGCGGCGUGCCUAACACAUGCAAGUCGAGCGAUCUCUUCGGAGAGAGCGGCGGACGGGUGAGUAACGCGUGGGUAACCUGCCCUGUACACACGGAUAA